GAUGAACGCUGGCGGCGUGCCUAACACAUGCAAGUCGAACGGGGCUGUUUGAAAGAUCUUUUCGGAGUGAUUUCUUACAGCUUAGUGGCGGACGGGUGAGUAACACGUGGGUAACCUGCCCUUCACUGGGGGGAUAACAGUUGGAAACGGCUGUUAAUACCGCAUAUGCGCACGGGACCGCAUGGUCCAGGGCGGAAAGAUUUAUCGGUGAAGGAUGGGCCCGCGUCGGAUUAACUUGUUGGUGAGGUAACGGCCCACCAAGGUGAUGAUCCGUAGCCGACCUGAGAGGGUGACCGGCCACAUUGGGACUGAGACACGGCCCAAACUCC
rnacentral:rRNA from 1 species